rnacentral:lncRNA from 1 species
UUCUCCUGAAGAGCUUCUGUUUCAGGUUCUUCCUCUUCAAUUGCUGGUUUUUCAUCUUUCUUUUCAACAACUAGUUCUUCAGAUGUGUCUUCAACUGUUGGUUCUUCAGGUUUCUCUUCAAGAGCUAGUUCUUCAGGUGUUUCCUCCCCUGCAAGCUCUUCAGGUGUUUCUAUAGUCGCCGGUUCUUCAGGUUUCUCUGUAAUCUCUAGUUCAGGUUUCUCCUCAACUGGUACUUCAGAUUUCUCCUCAAAUGUUGGUUCUUCAGGUUUCUCCUUAAUAGCUGGUACACCAGGUUUCUCUUCAAUGAGUGGUUCUUCAGUUUUUUCUUCAACUGCCGAUUCUUCAGGAUUUUCCUCACUGUCUGGAGAGUGUGCAACAUCAUUAUUGGUAUUGCAUGGGAUUUCACUGCCAGUUUUUUCGUUCGAGUCUACAAUUAGCAUAUUCUGCAAAAAGAAUUUAAUGUUUCACUUAGCCUUUCAAUAAAGAUGCAGAUGUGAAUCAUAGUACAUACAUAACUAACAAAAUGGAUAAACUUUGUGAUAGUGCUUGACCCUUACCUUUUCCAAAAGAGUUACCUUUUCAGGUUUCUCCUCUUCCAUGGCUGGUUCUUCAUGUAUCUCUUCAAAUGCUAGUUCCUUAGGUGUUUCUUCAAUUACUUGUUUUUCAGGUUUCUCCUCAAUUUUUGGUUCUUUGAUUGUCUCCUCAACUGAUGGUACUUCAAGCUUUUCUCCCACGGUUGGUUUUUCAGGUUUCUCUUCAACUGUCGGUUGUUCAGGUAUUUUCUCAACCGCUGGUUCUUCUGGUUUCCCCGAAACCCUUGAUUCUUCAGAUUUUUCUUCAAUUGCUGAUUCUUCAGAUAUCUCUUCAACUAUUGCUUCUUCAGUUUUUUCCUCAACUGAUGCAUAGUCAGCAAUGUCAUUGUUGGUAUUGCAUGGAAUUGCAUUGUCUAUUGUGUUCUUUGAGUUUACAAUUGGAAAAUUCUGCAAGAAAAUUUAAAGUUUCAUCUAGUCUUUCAAUAGAUAAACAUGUAAAUGCGUUGCACAUAUAAAGCUAAUAUGCUGAAUAAACUUUGUGAGAGUUAAUUCUCACCUUCUCCUUAAGAGCUUCCAUUUCAGGUUCCUCCUCUUCAAUUGCUGUUUUUUCAACUUUCUCUUCAACAACUAGCUCUUCAGAUGUAUCUUCAACCGUUGGUUCUUCAGGUUUCUCUUCAAGUGCUAGUUCUUCAGGUGUUUCUAUUGCUGCCGGUUCUUGAGGUUUCUCUUCAGUCUCUGGUUCUUGAGGUUUCUCCUCAGCUGGUACUUCAGAUUUCUCCUCAAAUGUUGGUUUCUCCUCAACUGCUGGUACAUCAGGUUUCUCUUCAAUGACUAGUUCUUCAUUUUUUAUUUCAACUGCCGGUUCUUCAGAAUUUUCCUCAAUGUCUGGAGAGUGAGCAACAUCAUUAUUGGUAUUGCAUGGAAUUUCACUGCCAGUUUUGGUGUUCGAGUCUACAAUUAGCAUAUUCUGCAAAAAGACUUUAAUGUUUCACUUAGCCUUUCAAAAGAAGAGCAUGUGAAUCACUGUACAUGCAUAACUAACAAAAUGGAUAUACUUUGUGAUAGUACUUGACCCUUACCUUUUCCAAAAGAGUUACCUUUUCAGGUUUCUCCUCUUUCAUUGCUGGCUCUUUAUGUAUCUCUUCUAAUGCUAGUUCCUUGGGUGUUUCUUCAGUUACUUGUUUAUCAGGUUUCUCCUCAAUUUUUGGUUCUUUGAUCGUCUCCUCAACUGAUGGUUCUUCAAGCUUUUCUCCCACUGUUGGUGUUUCAGGUUUCUCUUCGAUUGUCGGUUGUUCAGGUAUUUUCUCAACCGGUGGUUCUUCUGGUUUCUCCAAAACCCUUGAUUCUUCAGAUUUCUCUUCAAUAGCUGAUUCUUCAGAUAUCUCUUCAACUUCUGGUUCUUCAGUAUUUUCCUCAACUGAUGCAUAGUCAGCAAUGUCAUUGUUGGUAUUGCAUGGAAUUGCAUUGUCUGUUGUGUUCUUUGAGUUUACAAUUGGCAAAUUCUGCAAGAAAAUUUGAAGUUCCAUUUAGUCUUUCAAUAGAUGAAACAUAUUUAAAUUCAUUGCACUUAUAAAGUUAAUAUGCUGAAUAAACUUUGUGACAGUGUUAAUUGUCACCUUCUCCUGAAGAGCUUCCGUUUCAGGUUCCUCCUCUUCAAUUGCUGGUUUUUCAUCUUUCUCUUCAACAACUAGCCCUUCAGAUGUAUCUUCAACUGUUAGUUCUUCAGGUUUCCCUUCAAGUGCUAGUUCUUCAGCUGUUUCUAUAGCUGCUGGUUUUUCAGGUUUCUCUUCAGUUGCCGGUUCUUGAGGUUUCUCCUCAGCUGGUACUUCAGAUUUCUCCUCAAAUUUUGGUUCUUCAGGUUUCUCCUCAACUGCUGGUACAUCAGGUUUCUCUUCAAUGACUGGUUCUUCAUUUUUUAUUUCAACUGCCGAUUCUUCAGGAUUUUCCUCGAUGUCUGGAGAGUGAGCAACAUCAUUAUUGGUAUUGCAUGGAAUUUCACUGCCAGUUUUGGUGUUCGAGUCUACAAUUAGCAUAUCCUGCAAAAAGAAUUUAAUGUUUCACCUAGCCUUUCAAAAAAAGAUCAUGUGAAUCACAGUACAUGCAUAACUAACAAAAUGGAUAAACUUUGUUA